CCUUGCCGAGGCGCCCACCCACAUGUACAUAGUUUUGCACAGACACAAGCCUUGCAUAAUGACAGAAACGAAGUAGCUUGUAAACCCCGAGUAGAUAUACAAGACAGCGAACUAUCUUGACGGAGCUACCCAGGGGACCGGGUGACAAUAGCAGUUGAGCGACCCACCCCUUCUUGCCAAGGCUUAGCUUAAGCAAUUAGAAUGAUAUGCUGGAAACCAAGUUACUGCCAAU